rnacentral:rRNA from 1 species
UACGAAGGGGGCUAGCGUUGCUCGGAAUCACUGGGCGUAAAGGGUGCGUAGGCGGGUCUUUAAGUCAGGGGUGAAAUCCUGGAGCUCAACUCCAGAACUGCCUUUGAUACUGAAGAUCUUGAGUUCGGGAGAGGUGAGUGGAACUGCGAGUGUAGAGGUGAAAUUCGUAGAUAUUCGCAAGAACACCAGUGGCGAAGGCGGCUCACUGGCUCGAUACUGACGCUGAGGCGCGAAAGCGUGGGGAGCAAACAGG